AACGAACGCUGGCGGCAGGCCUAACACAUGCAAGUCGAACGCCGUAGCAAUACGGAGUGGCAGACGGGUGAGUAACACGUGGGAACAUACCCUUCGGUUCGGAAUAACUCAGGGAAACUUGAGCUAAUACCGGAUACGUCCGCGAGGAGAAAGAUUCAUCGCCGGAGGAUUGGCCCGCGUCUGAUUAGCUUGUUGGUGAGGUAACGGCUCACCAAGGCGACGAUCAGUAGCGGUCUGAGAGGAUGAUCAGCCACAUUGGGACUGAGACACGGCCCAAACUACCUACGGGAGGCAGCAGUGGGGAAUAUUGGACAAUGGGCGGCAAGCCUGAUCCAGCCAUGCCGCGUGAGUGAUGAAGGCCCUAGGGUU
rnacentral:rRNA from 1 species